CAGGUCCUGUAUCUCUCCCCACCCAGACUAAGGCAGGUCCUGUAUCUCUCCCUCCCAGACUAAGUCAGGUCCUGUAUCUCUCCCUCCCAGACUAAGUCAGGUCCUGUAUCUCUCCCCCCCAGACUAAGUCAGGUCCUGUAUCUCUCCCUCCCAGACUAAGUCAGGUCCUGUAUCUGUCCCCCCACAGACUAAGUCAGGUCCUGUAUCUCUCCCCCCCAGACUAAGUCAGGUCCUGUAUCUCUCUCCCCAGACUAAGUCAGGUCCCGUAUCUCUCACCCUCCCAGACUAAGUCAGGUCCUGUAUCUCUCCCUCCCAGACUAAGUCAGUUCCUGUAUCUCUCUCCCCACCCAGACUAAGUCAGGUCCUGUAUCUCUCCCUCCCAGACUAAGGCAGGUCCUGUAUCUCUCCCCCCCAGACUAAGUCAGGUCCUGUAUCUCUCUCCCCAGACUAAGUCAGGUCCCGUAUCUCUCACCCUCCCAGACUAAGUCAGGUCCUGUAUCUCUCCCUCCCAGACUAAGUCAGUUCCUGUAUCUCUCUCCCCACCCAGACUAAGUCAGGUCCUGUAUCUCUCUCCCCACCCAGACUAAGGCAGGUCCUGUAUCUCUCCCUCCCAGACUAAGGCAGGUCCUGUAUCUCUCCCCACCCAGACUAAGGCAGGUCCUGUAUCUCUCCCUCCCAGACUAAGUCAGGUCCUGUAUCUCUCCCUCCCAGACUAAGUCAGGUCCUGUAUCUCUCCCUCCCAGACUAAGUCAGGUCCUGUAUCUCUCCCUCCCAGACUAAGUCAGGUCCUGUAUCUCUCCCUCCCAGACUAAGUCAGGUCCUGUAUCUCUCCCUCCCAGACUAAGUCAGGUCCUGUAUCUCUCCCUCCCAGACUAAGUCAGGUCCUGUAUCUCUCUCCCUCCCAGACUAAGUCAGGUCCUGUAUCUCUCCCUCCCAGACUAAGUCAGGUCCUGUAUCUCUCCCUCCCAGACUAAGUCAGGUCCUGUAUCUCUCUCCCUCCCAGACUAAGUCAGGUCCUGUAUCUCUCCCCCCAGACUAAGUCAGGUCCUGUAUCUCUCCCCCCAGACUAAGUCAGGUCCUGUAUCUCUCUCCCCAGACUAAGUCAGGUCCCGUAUCU